GCCGUCCUCCCUUCCUUUCUCAGUCUCUCUCUGCUUCCUGUCUGGCUCCUCUCUGCCUUGUCCUCCCAUCACACUGUUCUGCCUCGCCACAAGCCAGUGAAGAGUGGAGCCAAUGACCCUGGAAACCCUGGAAACGAUUGAGUAGUAGGACUCAAAUACCUGUUGACAGUGGACUUUCGUGAACAGUGGUGUUCUAUACAAGGGACUGCUAUACCGCAAGGAGCUGGAAUGAACUAAGAGUCUUGCCAGACAUGGGUUGAAGACUCAGAGUCCUUGUCCUGAUCCUGCAGUCACCUUGGGUUCCAGGAGCAGCACAGCACCUUAGGUCUCGACAGUCACCCUGAUGAUGAGGCUACACCCUGGAGCAGACCAUCUGUGGACACCAGAUUGCUCCCGUCUCCCCUGACAGUCAUUCGCAACUCCUCAACUUCUUGUGCGACCGCCUUGCAGGAUCUGAGCUGAGACGACGAUGAAUGAGGAGCCCCCUUGAGAUUGCUUAAGGAUACACGCCUCUUGUUCUCUGUACCAGUUCUUCCUCUACAGAGUCCUAAAGCUCAUAUCUGUACCCGCGCCAAAGAACUAGGGGGAAAAUAGACCCCUUAAUAUUUCUCUUUCCAGUUCAUGGUAAUUAACUCCUCUUUUUCCGCUUUUCACCAUGCUUUGUCUGUGUGUGCAUGUGUGUGUGUGUGUCUGUUUGUGAGUGCACGUGUGUAUGUGUGUGUGCAUACAUGUAUGUGUGCAUGUGUGUGUGCAUGUGCAUGCCUGCAUGAGAGAGAGAAAGCUUCCACCUAACCUGUGACUGCCACACCCACACUGCAAGGCCCCCACCUGGCACUCCAGUCUCAGAUUCGAGUGUAAUAGGAUGGUGCGUGAACACACACAUGGGAGGCCCUGAGGACAACCUCGGGCGUCAUUCCUCAAGUAUCAAAAACUGCUUUAAUUAAUUAAUUAAGGAUAGGUUAGCUAGGCUGACUAGCCAGAGUGCCCCAGGAAUCUGCCCAUCUCUACCUCCCCAAUGCUGAGAUUACAAAUGUAGGUAACCACACCAGGAUUUUAAAUUUUAAUUUAAAAUUCUUAUUUUAGACAAGCUCUAAAUACUUAGUCCUGGUUAGCCUGGAACUCGCUAUGUAGACCAGGAUGGCCUCAAACUCACUGCCUGUACCACCACACUCAGCUUUGGGCUUUUCUCAUAAGGGAUCUGGGAACUGAACUCAGGUUCUUGUUUUCACAAGGCAAGCAAUUCAGCAACU